GAUGAACGCUGGCGGCGUGCUUAACACAUGCAAGUCGAACGAAGCAUUUAAGACAGAUUACUUCGGUUUGAAGUCUUUUAUGACUGAGUGGCGGACGGGUGAGUAACGCGUGGGUAACCUGCCUCAUACAGGGGGAUAGCAGCUGGAAACGGCUGGUAAUACCGCAUAAGCGCACGGUAUCGCAUGAUACAGUGUGAAAAACUCCGGUGGUAUGAGAUGGACCCGCGUCUGAUUAGCUGGUUGGUGAGGUAACGGCCCACCAAGGCGACGAUCAGUAGCGACCUGAGAGGGUGACCGGCACAUUGGGACUGAGACACGGCCCAGGACUCCUACGGGAGGCAGCAGUGGGGGAUAUUGCAC
rnacentral:rRNA from 1 species